GUGGAAAACCACUUCUGGAAAUCACCUUAAACGUCUUUGUCAAUAAGGUCAAACUCCCUAGCUCAGAGACCACAUAAUCAGCAUCUAGUAUUCCAAAGUCCUACCGAAGCCUAGAAUAAAGGUAUCCAAAUACUUUUGUAACACGGCAACUAUUUCCUACUUCAAUCUUCUCCGAAAAAAGCAGCAGCAGUCAGUUUCCUUGGUAUACCCAAAGUCGCCACAAGCAGUAGGCAGAGGGAAGACGUUAACCCGAGUCAAGUCACAACUUACCCACCCUCCCCACUACGAGCUUAAAAAGCUGCUCACCCGAGAAACAGUGACACAAUGGGCCUCUAUGCCCAUUUAUACCAUACGGCACAGCCUUUUUGCACCAUUUCCCUAAUUUCCUGAAGGCAAAAGCUGAUUCCAAUCCAAAUAGCUUUUAUUUAGCCUCUAGACCAUAGCUUUCACAAAGUAUAAGUCUUAUUCCUACGGUCUCCCAUCUGUUGGUGAGGAGGGCCUAGCAAUCCGAAUAUUCUUAAUAUGAACACCUGAGGCUUUCAGUUGGCUUCUGCCUUGGGAAAACUGAGAACCCACACACAAGGCCAACGGGCAGCGCUGAAAGAUCAGGUUGUACUAGAGUUCAAAUAUACAGCUUAUAGAAACCCCCGCCUAAAUGCCCAGGACACAGUCGUAAUGCAGUCGAGGACAAAAAUUAGACCAGGGCCCGGGCGGGCCCCGAGAAAUCCAAGGGCUACGAGCUCAAGGUCACCCACGCACCGCGACAGCCAUUCCUUGGGAACUCUUCCUAAAGCGGCCACGUGCUCCCCGCAGAGCGGCUCUGCGCUGCGGCAGCGUGGCUCACUGACCCUCGCUCCCGAGCCCUCAGGCUAGGGCUGUCCCACGAGGGCCUGCAUCUUUUAAGGGCAAGCUACUGAGGACAAGGGAUCCGGGUGGCCUGAGGAGCCGGAAGAAGCAUGGCGGGGCGCAGAGCGACAGUGGGGCACCCCUCAUCUCGCCCUCAGGGCCCUGAGAGAAUCCAGUCGCUGGUCUGGGGCCGAGAGGAGGAGGGCACCAAGAGGAAGAGAAAGGUGCCUGCUGGAUGCCCCCACCUGGAUGACCCACUCAAGUUCAACCUGUCCCGAAGAGAACCCAACACCUUCCUCCCCAAACUUGGUGCCCCUGCCUCCUGUCUUCCCUGCUCUAUGACACUGUGCUUUACAGAUUCUGGGGACAGUCCUGGGGACUCUCCCACAGUCACCUGUUGGUGCUCAAAAAUGUUUAUUGAAUGGAGCUCCUAAAACAAACUGCAUUUACAAAAGUACAUUGGUGGGUACCAGAGUGCACAGAACGUAGUCGAAAGGGAGACACCCCAGACUAACAGGUCCCUUGAGCAUCAGAGGCUUGGAAAAAAGAUCCUCAGUGGCCAUCUCAUCCCUCCCCAUAGUGUACAGAUACACAAACUGAAGUCCAGUGAGCCCCUAUGAAGAGGAGUAGUUUCUGGGCUUCCCUGGUGGCACAGUGGUUAGGAAUCCGCCUGCCAAUGCAGGGGACACAGGUUCAAGCCUCGGUUCGGGAAGAUCCCACAAGCUGCAGAGCAGCUAGGCCCAUGCGCCACAACUACUGAGCCUGCGCUCUAAAGCCCGUGAUCCACAACAAAUGAACCCACGUGCCACAACAACUGAAGCCCGCACCUAGAGCCCAUACUCUGCAAUAAGAGAAGCCACCGCAAUGAGAAGACCGUGCACCACAACAAAGAAUAGCCCCCGCUCUCCCCAACUAGAGAAAGCCCGCACGCAGCAACGAAGACACAAGGCAGCCAAAAGAAAGAAAGAAAGAAAAAAAACUAAAAAUAGAAUAUCAUAUGACCCAGGAAUUCCACUCCAGGGUAUAUAUCUGAAAAAAACAAAGACACUAAUUCGAAAAGAUGCAUGUACCCCAAUGUUCAUAGCAGCAUUAUUUAUAAUUGCCAAGACAUGGAAGCAACCUAAGUGCCCAUCAACAGAUAAAUGGGUAAAAAAGAUGUGAUAUGUUCAUACACACAUGCGCACACACAAUGGAAUGCUAGUCAGCCAUAAAAAAGAAUGAAAUUUUGCCAUUCGCAGCAACAUUGAUGGACUUGGAAGGCAUUAUGCUAAGUAAAAUAAGUCAGGCAGAGAAAGACAAAUACCGUAUGAUAUCAUUCAUACGUGGAAUCUAAAAACUACAGCAAACUAGUGAAUAAAACAGAAAAGAAGCAGACUCAGAUACAGACAACAAACUAGUGGUUGGUUACCAGUGAUGGUGUGGGGGGGCAGUAUAGGGGUAGGGGAGUAUGAAGUAUAAACUAUUAGGUAUAAAAUAAGCUACAAGGAUAUA